GGUUUCAUGGUGUAGUUGGUUAUCAUAUUUGUCUAACAGUUUUUAACUGGACACAAAGGUACCCAGAUCGAGCGUGGGUGAAAUCA